CCCCGCGGGUGGCUUGUCCGGCUGUUCCGCGCGGGGCAGCGGGCACCUCCCACCCUCCAUUUCGCCUGUCCCCGCUCCCCCGCUGCCCUCGCUGAAGAUGGCGGCCGCCCCCUUGGGCCCUCAGUAAAAAUGGCAUCCCCCUUCCCCCGCCAGGCGGAUCCGGGAGCGGGUUGAGGCGGAAGCGGAAGUGAUGUCCUCCCCCGUCCCGGCGGCGGCGGGCCAGGAGGAGGUGGCGGCGGGGAGGGCCCCGCGAGCGGCGCGGCGGUUGCCGAGUAACGGCGGAAACCAGCCCGGGCUCAUUGCACAAUGGCAGAAGCUACCGUCUCUCCCCUGAAGCACUUUGUGCUGGCUAAAAAGACAAUCACUGCCAUUUUCGACCAGCUGCUGGACUACGUCACUGAGGGAGCAACUUUUGUGGAAGCAACAUACAGGAACCCAGAGCUUGAGCAUGUAGCAACAGAAGACGAACUAGCAAAAAUACAGGCAUAUAAAAAUAAGUUAGCGGUCAUCGGUGAGGUGCUUUCACGGAGACACAUGAAAGUGGCAUUUUUUGGCAGAACGAGCAGUGGGAAAAGUUCGGUUAUUAAUGCAAUGCUGUGGGAUAAGGUACUUCCUAGUGGGAUUGGCCAUACAACUAACUGCUUUCUUAGCGUGGAAGGGACAGAUGGAGAGAAGGCUUAUCUUAUGACAGAAGGAUCAGAUGAAAAGAAGAGUGUCAAGACAGUCAAUCAGCUUGCUCAUGCACUUCACAUGGAUAAAGAUUUGAAAGCUGGCUGUCUCGUCCAUGUCUUCUGGCCCAAGUCAAAGUGUGCUCUGCUGAGAGAUGAUUUGGUUUUAGUGGACAGCCCUGGCACAGAUGUCACUACAGAACUGGACAGCUGGAUUGACAAAUUCUGCUUAGAUGCUGAUGUGUUUGUCUUGGUUGCCAAUUCUGAAUCAACUCUCAUGAACACGGAAAAGCAUUUUUUCCAUAAAGUGAAUGAACGACUUUCCAAGCCAAACAUCUUCAUCUUGAAUAACAGAUGGGAUGCCUCUGCAUCAGAACCAGAAUAUAUGGAAGAUGUGCGCAGGCAGCACAUGGAGCGCUGUCUGACUUUCCUAGUUGACGAGCUCAAAGUUAUUGAUCCUGUAGAAGCGAGGAAACGCAUCUUUUUUGUUUCUGCAAAAGAAGUUCUGAGUGCCAGGAGACAGAAGGCCCAAGGAAUGCCAGAGGGUGGUGCAGCACUUGCUGAAGGGUUUCAAACAAGAUUCCAGGAAUUUCAACAUUUUGAGCAGAUAUUUGAGGAGUGUAUCUCGCAGUCAGCCGUGAAAACCAAGUUUGAACAGCACACUAUCAGAGCUAAACAGAUAAUAGAUACUGUGAAAAACAUUAUGGACGCCAUAAACGUAGCAGCAGCAGAGAAAAGAGUCCAGUCAAUGGAAGAGCGAGAAGAUCAGAAGGAUAGACUGGACUUCGUUCGAAAUCAGCUGAACAUCUUGACAGAAGAUACUAAGGAAAAAAUCAAACGUGUUACUGAGGAAGUAGAAAGUAAAGUCUCCUCUGCCAUGACUGAUGAGAUUUGCAGACUUUCGGUUUUAGUUGAUGAAUUUUAUUCAGAUUUUCACCCUUCUCCUCAAGUACUGAAGCUCUAUAAGACAGAACUGAACAAACAUAUAGAAGAUGGUUUGGGAAGGAACCUGGCUGAUCGUUGCUCCAGUGAAGUCAAUGAGUCAAUGCAUCAGUCACAGCAGGAGAUGAUUGAAAAUCUGAAACCGUUGUUGCCUUCUGGUGCUCAGAAUCAGCUCCACUUGCUAAUUCCUUGCAGGAGGUUUGACCUUAGCUAUGAUCUGAACUGUCAUAGUCUGUGUGCAGAUUUUCAAGAGGAUAUCAUGUUCCACUUUUCCUUGGGAUGGACUUCACUUGUAAACCGUUUCUUGGGUGCUAAACAAGCUCAGAAAGUACUGUUGGGACUAGCAGAUCCAAACUUACAAAUCCCUCGUCCUUUAGCUACCACCCCGUCUACUGCCAGCCUUCCUGCCAUGACUCCGGAGAAUGUAUCGCAGGAUGAUUUUAUGGUUCCUUUGGUAAUGAGUUUAGCUUCCCUGACAUCACGGACCUCUAUGAGCAUCAUCGUUGUUGGCGGAGUGAUUUGGAGAACAGUUGGCUGGAAACUCAUCUCUCUUUCCUUAAGUAUGUAUGGGUUGUUAUAUCUUUAUGAGAGACUCACUUGGACCACUAAAGCAAAAGAGAGAGCCUUUAAACAGCAGUUUGUAAACUAUGCUACUGAAAAGCUGCAGAUGAUCGUCAGUCUCACAAGUGCUAAUUGUAGCCAUCAGGUGCAACAGGUGCAGAACACCUCUCCUGUGUAGCCCAGGGAAUACUUUACUAAUACAGAGUUCAGCUUCUGCAGAGGAAGGAGAAUCAUCCAUGUGUCCAGCAGCUGUGUGUCUCUGUGAGGACAUGGAAGAGCUGGACUCAAACCAGUGCUCCAGUGAGGUGAAGUAGAGAGGAGAGGACGUGUCUCCUCUCCUAUGGGCGAGCCUGCUUGCUGGCUCAGGGUGGUAACUGGUUUUUGUUUUCCCUUUGUGUAAGGAGGAGUCUUGGAACUCAGGUUGGGAGCACAUGGCUGAGGAGGCAGCUAAGACCUCAGCCUGCACAGUGCCCACGUUCCCGGUGUGCAGGGCACUUGGUGUGGCACAGGGCACUGCAGAAGGGGCACUCAGCUGCUCCAGCACGUGUGGCUGCCAGAGUCCCCCUCUCAGGCUUGUACCUGUUAAUGCUCAGUGAAAAGUGGCCAGACAUGAUGUGGGCAUAGGCAUUUUGCAUGUUUAAGGUUUCUUUUUGAAUUAAAAAAAAAUACAUAAUUCUCCUGCUUUCUGCUAUUCUGUAGUCUCUUUAACAGCGGGAGACUUAGAUUGCUGUGUUCUACUGCACACGGCAAUGCCAUCAGAUUUUAAAAUCUUUAUUUCAUUUCUUAAGGUUUUUAUUUCAUACCACAGACUUCUGUAAAUCAUGAUUACAAACUUGCUUUCCCUUUAGGGAAAUGGCCACUACCUUUGCUCGGCUCUGUCAGCAGGUGGAUAUUACCCAGAAAAACCUGGAAGAAGAAAUUGCUAGGCUUUCCAAAGAAAUAGAUCAGCUGGAGAACAUACAGAGCAGCUCCAAGCAGCUGAGAAAUAAAGCCAUUCACCUUGAGAAUGAACUAGAUGGCUUCACCAGACACUUUCUUCAAAAGAGCAAAUAAAACAUCGUUGCCAACUUUCCCAGUGAUCCUUUGUAGGACAAGGUAGAAAUUUUGCAAAUGAUACUUCUCCUCUGUGGAGUCACAUGAAAUGAUUUAUAUUUUAGAUGUUACUUUGAUUACAUUUGUUAAUUAUUCUGAAACUUUGACGGUAAAUCAAACUGAAGAGCUGUGGUUCUCUUGAGUGUUACAUUUGUUUUGCAGAUUUGAGGUUAAAAAUUAUCUUUAAACACUAAAUUUCUUUUGAAACACUUGACAAUAAAAACCAAAAUCCUUACUGGUUUUCAUUAGUAUUUAGCAGUGGCAAGUCUCACUUCCUGGCAUCCAGGAGUUUAUGCAGGGAGAGAGAGCUUAUCACGGUUACCACUGUCUCCGGGUUUUGGUUGCUUAGGAAUUAUCUGGGGAUGGAGGAUGCUGCUUUUUCAUGUGUGUGUUUGUUUAAGGAUGGGAGAUACAAACUCUAGCAUGGGGAAGGACUCUUGACUUGUUUUGAAAGCAAGUGAAAUUGUGUUGGGCAGCAGUUCCUCUUCUGUAAAUGGAAGUGAAAGCUGGUAGUGAAGUGCAGAGCCUUCACUAAUGAAAUGCAGUAGGCUCUAGUUUCCCCUCUGGCCACCACAUUUAGACAAGAUGGCAUUGCUUAAGUAAAAAUAACCUAUUUCAACAAAUAUGUCAGCUCCCUUGCAGCUGGUGAAGCAGUGAAAUGGCCAUUUGCCUGUGAGAGCACCCCUUGGGGUGAGCUGCAGGUGCCUGUUGAUGCCACCCAGCUCUUGUCCAGGCAAAGAGAACUUGCUGAGCAGGUGGUCUGGACCUAAAUGUUGCAUGUUGGGUGGGGAAGCUGGGGCUGUGGGCCUUGACCUUUAGCUCCUGCUGCUGGAUUCCCAGCACAGGGAAAGGCUGGGUUUGACAGUUCAUACUCAGGAACCAUCCUGCACAGUCCUUGGUUGGGCUGUAGCCCAGCUCUCUCCUAGGUGCGACACAAGGCAGGCGUGCUGCAGUACCCACCUCUGCUCAUGCCCAGCAAUGCAAAGCCUCUUUAAAAAAGAAAAAAAGCACAUUUUUGCUGUUGCACCUGCACUCAUUAAUUUUUCUAACUGGACUUUUUAACAAUAACUUAUUUUAAGAGAGAAAGCCUUUUCAGAAUAUUUAUAUAUUUUUAUGGAACUGUUAAUGUGACUAAAUGAAAUUCAACUUUAAAACCAAGAUGUAGGGAUUUGCUGUUUUCCAGUAAACAAGGGCUAUCUUAAAAGGAAAUAGAUUUAAAAUGUAAUGGUAGAGCCAGGUCGUUGUUGGCAGGCGAAGCAUGCCCCUUUCACCACGCUGUACCUUGGUGUUUGUGUCCGACUGUGCUAGCACAAGCGCAGCUCUCCUGGACCUGUCAGUAGCAGCACGUGUGAGGAGCCUCCAGGCUUUCGAGGGAAACUGAACUACAGCACUGAGUGACAGCCCAGCCUUGUUGUGUGUAAGGUUACAGAUGUGUGUUAAUGCUCUUUCCCUGGAGCGUUUAAUGGACAUUGUAUGAAGAUAAAACUUGACAUGCAUGUGUUCUAGAGUUAUUUAUUAAAAACGGUACUACCCC